rnacentral:rRNA from 1 species
UACGAAGGUGGCAAGCGUUACUCGGAAUUACUAGGCGUAAAGGGCAGGUAGGUGGUUUAGUAAGUCUGUUGUUAAAGCUCCCGGCUUAACCGGGAGAGGUCAACGGAAACUACUAGGCUUGAGUAUAGGAGAGGGUACUGGAAUUCCUGGUGUAGCGGUGAAAUGCGCAGAUAUCAGGAGGAACACCGAUGGCGAAAGCAGGUACCUGG